ensembl:lncRNA
GUCGCGGGCGUGAAAGGGAGGAAUUGUUCCCGGGACCUUUGCUUUGCUUGUCAAGGGGAUUUCGGCCAGCACCGCCCCUCUUCCCUGAAGGCCCGGCUAGCCUCAGUUCCCCUCUCCCAAAGGGGCUGCACACCAGGGGGAGGCAGGGGCGCUGGGCGAACCUCCAGUUUCGUCUGUCCCUGCCAGCAGGACCCAGCCCAGGGUCAGAGGCUCAGGCAUUUUGGAUCCAUCAAGCUCCCCAGCCCAGGAGAGACACCCCCCCCCAACCCAGAGCAAGACACCCUCUCCUCCUCCCACCUCCCACCCUGGGAGGGUGUCCCCAGCACUGGUCUCUGGAGGCAUGAAAAAGCAGGUUCAACUCACAACCGGAAAAGGGACAGGUCAAGGUUCCCAGAGGAUGAAAUGUCAGCCUUCGGCGGCGGCAAUGCCAUUCCGCCGGAGGCGCUGAAAAUAGACGCAAAAACAGAAGCCUCAAGUCUCCGGAGGCCAGAGAAGGAGAGACAGAAAGAAAGUGAACUCGAGAAGGGCCAGCUUGGAAGGACUUUGCCCUUUUAAAUGUGACCUUGCCACAUGCAAAAUUCAGGUAGAAACAAAACCUGUACGAGCUGUGACCACAGGCAAGUCCGGGGUUUGGCAGAAUUCACCCCUCCUUGGCCCAGCAAGCGUUCGUUGUCCUUUCCAGCAAGGAGGGACUGGCUGGGGCUGCCUGACGGAGGCCGGCACAGGCCCAGAGGACACGGGCGAGGAUGGAAACGUUCUGUCUCUGCUCCGUCCGGUACGGAGCCGCCGGCCACAUGCAGGCAUCAAGCACCCGAAAUGUGGCUAUUGCAACAGAGCAACGGAAUUAUUAAUUUUGUUUCAUUUGAUUGGCUUUAGAUUUAAAUAACCGUGUUUAACUGGCAGCAGGAGAGCUGCAAUUGAUUAGCAAUGUCUGUCAGCGACACAGGAUGGGAAGGGAAGGUGCGAUUGCUGCAUUACUGAAUGACCAAGGGAUCUGGCGUGACCUAGGUUGCCUGAGGCCUAAAUCGUUGAUUUUGGUGCCUGCUCAGUUUCAGCAUUUAGGAGAAAAAAAUGUCUGUGAAGUCUAACGCCACACUCCCCUCUCCUUCAGGCUCAUGGUCUUUACUCCAGGUAACCCCAAGUCUCUGAACUGGUUUCCCUCCCAGGGGGAUCCCAUUUCUAAGACACAGCAUUUCUCCCUACACAGCAGCCAGAAAGCGCCUUCCAAAACAUCAAGCCAGCCAUGUUUUACCCUGCUCGAAACCCUUCAUCGAGUCCUUCCACCAAGGCCCUUUGCCACCUGCCCCUGCAGCCUCAUCCCUUUCGUUCUCCACCUCCACUCCAGCACACACCCCACUGAUGCUGGAAGAAACUGAGGCUCAGAGACACAAAUGACUGACCCCCAGACCACACAGCUAAUGAAAUGGUGGAGUUAGGAUUUGAACCCAGCCCAUCCCAAGCUGAGGUCCAGCUCUGCGGUCUGGGUGCUGCCUGGGGAUCGUCAGAGUCGCCUUAUGGAGCAGGUGUCCUCUCCGCUGUGCCAACAACCUUGUGGCAGGAGGAAGAUGAAUGGGGGCCUGUGCAGAGCCCUGGCCAAAGCACAGGGGCUGCUCUCUUCUCUCCUCCAACUGUGCCGUGUCCCGGCUCCAGAGUCACAGCUACCAGCAGAGCAGCCUCCCCGUCAUCGGCCCUCUCCCUCCACUGAGGCUGGGAGGCUGUGGGCAAACCAGCAGCCCCCCUCCCUCCCCACUAAAGAAGCUGGCGGGAGAGCCCUGGGCUGGAGACAGGAGGGCUGGGGACAUCUCCUUCCCUGACACUGGCCUGACAUGUUCCUAGAGGGCACUGCCCACCCAGGGGCCCUGCCACAGGUGGCGGAUCAGACAGAGCACAGCUACAGGCGGAUCCAGACAGAGGUGCUCCAGCCACAGGCCCUGGUGCUCCUCCUCAGAGCCCAGGGCCCUCCAGCCGCACUGACCGAGACCGUCUCCAGGGGUCCUUCCAGCCUCAGCAGACUGAGAUUCUGGCCACGAAAACCAAGCCGCCGCAGCCCACCAGGGAAACGCAGCUGGACAGAGAGAGGAUACCUCUUUGUCAGGACUCCUAACCUCCCCUGGCCACAUGUGUCCCCUUGGAUGUGCACUGGGCCAAGCUCUGCCCUCCCCGGGUACCACGUUCCCAUCCCUGCCCUGAGCCCAUUUGGGAAGCCAGCAUAGGUUAGGGACUGGGCCAUUUCCACAGGGCAGGAGUCUGGGAGGUCCUGGGCCCGGCAGGGAGGGGUCUGCAGAAGGAGCAGAGUGAGUAUGGAGCCGAGAGGUGCCACAUGUGCCCCAGAGUGGGAGUGAGGGGAAAGGGUGGUCAGUGAGAGCAGGAGGUCCCAGGCAGGCUGAGGGAACCAGGGUCCCUUCAGAGAAGCCCGUGGCCCCUGCUGCACGCUCCAUGACCUUUGCAGGAAGGAGGCUUAGGGCUGACCUCCUGCCAUGAUGUGGCCACCACUCAGGGCCACCACGGGGCCCCAGCUCGUUCCCCUUCCAUCUCCUAUCCGAGGGGCCAGGGACGGGCCUGGGGGGAGAGGGAGGGGCCCAAGGAAGUGGGGGCUCUCGGUUCCCAGCACACCCCAACUUGGUCACCUGUCCCCCAUGGAUCAGCCUUCAAUCCCGACCCCGGGGGGGCAGAGCACUGGCCCUGGAGCUUGUCAAUCUGUGGGGACAUGUGAAGCCAGAGCUGGAGUGUUCCCACACCGUGCCAGCCACCAAGGAGGGGCCCCGAGUGCAGGAUCCCCGCCUGUCACAGGCCUGGGCGCCAGCUCGCCCCUCCACAGUGUGUGUUCCCACUGCACCUCUCGGCAGACCAAGCCCACCCGAGACCCUCGAGAUGGCCCAGCCACAAAGCAUGCGGGGCUGUCUGCUGGGCUGCUCCUGGCUGGCCCUCCCUGGGAGUGUGGGGACUGGCUACCAGCCCACCCGGGCAGGGAGAGCGGGGCCUCUGCGGGCUGCGCUUCCAGAAAUUUCCAGGGUCACAUGAAGGCUGAGGUGGUAAAGCUGGGAACAGAAGGCAAGCCUGGUAGGAAUCCCUCCUGCCCUCUGCCCUCUCUGUGGCCAGCAGAGGGGGUCCACCCAAAACCAACAGCAUCCCCCCUUGUCCUGACGAGGGACUGAAAAUUCCCUGAGGGCGGUCUGAGGCUGCAGUUUUCAGACUCACUCUUUCCUGCCGGCCAAGAGAUGCAAAACAGACAUUUUCCAGGUGAAGAAACAGGCUCAGAGAAAUAAAGUGACUUGCCCAAGGUCACAGAGCACGGAAGGGGAAGAGCUGAGAUUCCAACCCAGAACUGUGUCUUGCAUUUAGUCGGAGAUGCAGAGACUGCGGCAUCGAGGGAGUUUCAGCCAGGAGGGGACCUGUGAGUAGAGACUCAGAGGAUGAGCAGAGCAGGAGGAGAGAAGGUACGGGGCGAAGGGGGCGGCAUUUAGGGGGCGCUGAGUAGACUCGACAGCUGCAGGGCAGGUGCGGGAGGAGGCGCAGAGGACAGGGAGCCCUGACCCUGGGGAGCUGGGUGGCCUGUUCUGUGCCACCCCAAGAGGUGCUGUUUGGGUGUAGAGAGUAAUACAGUCAGGGUGAUAUGAGCUACCUCGAGACACAGCCCAGGGCAGGGAGGGGGGUUGGACUAAUGUUUUCCAGAACCCAGAAUGGAGGACUCCCGUGCCCUGGCCCCAGGCACGCGUGGUCACUGUCUGUUGACUCAGCUGUCUUCCCACCACACUGAGCCUACCCCAGCAGGUGCUCAACGAGAGUCUGUGAGAUGGA